rnacentral:rRNA from 1 species
GAUGAACGCUGGCGGCGUGCCUAAUACAUGCAAGUCGAGCGAACAGACGAGGAGCUUGCUCCUCUGACGUUAGCGGCGGACGGGUGAGUAACACGUGGAUAACCUACCUAUAAGACUGGGAUAACUUCGGGAAACCGGAGCUAAUACCGGAUGAUAUUUUGAACCGCAUGGUUCAAUAGUGAAAGACGGUUUUGCUGUCACUUAUAGAUGGAUCCGCGCCGCAUUAGCUAAUUGGUAAGGUAACGGCUUACCAAGGCAACGAUGCGUAGCCGACCUGAGAGGGUGAUCGGCCACACUGGAACUGAGACACGGUCCAGACUCCUACGGGAGGCAGCAGUAGGGAAUCUUCCGCAAUGGGCGAAAGCUUGACGGAGCAACGCCGCGUGAGUGAUGAAGGUCUUCGGAUCGUAAAACUCUGUUAUUAGGGAAGAACAAAUGUGUAAGUAACUAUGCACAUCUUGACGGUACCUAAUCAGAAAGCCACGGCUAACUACGUG